UACAGAGGUGCCAAGCGUUAGGCGGAAUCACUGGGCUUAAAGCGCGUGUAGGCGGGUCGUUAAGUGGCCGGGUGAAAUCCCACGGCUCAACCGUGGAACUGCCGGGCAUACUGGCGAUCUUGAGGCAUUCAGGGGCGAGCGGAACAAAUGGUGGAGCGGUGAAAUGCGUAGAUAUCAUUUGGAACGCCAAUGGUGAAAACAGCUCGCUGGGAAUGAUCUGACGCUGAGACGCGAAAGCCAGGGGAGCAAACGGG
rnacentral:rRNA from 1 species